AAGCUUGCUUUCGUUGUGAAGCAAGACUAUAAUGUGGCCUUCGCGCGCAUAAGUCCUUGCUUCUGUAAAUUUUUUGCACAAUGAUUUACAUAACAUUUUUCUAUAUUUCGUUCUCUUCCUGCCACUUAUGCCUUCCAGAUGCAGCCACAAUGUAAGUAAAGUUCACUUUCUGCUUCUUUCUUCUGUUGGUCAGCAAGCAGGAACGUAAGCUAAUCUUAUGCGCUCUCUUUCCAUGUCAAAAGCCCCGCAGAUGCGACCAAAAGCCUGGCUGAGCUGAAAUCGCUCAAGAAAAGUUAUGAAGUCAUUGAGAAACUCCUCCUGGGCAACCAAUCCCCACUGACCACCGAGGAAGAGGAAUCAGUCGUGGAAUCUUUGAAGGCUCUCACAAAUCUGGAAGCAAACCUUGAUCCUGAAAGUGAAGAGUAUUUCCUGGCGAAUUUUAUUCAGAAAGUUGUUGUCUGGGCAGUUCAAAAGGGUGUGUCCAAGGCUGUCUCACAUGGUGUUGGGGCUGUGAUUAGUAAAGUGGGAUAAAUGAGCAGUAAUUCUAUCGACCACUGCGGCACAAAUAAAAUACGUGCACACAA
rnacentral:lncRNA from 1 species